UACGUAGGGUGCAAGCGUUGUCCGGAAUUAUUGGGCGUAAAGAGCUCGUAGGCGGCUCGUUGCGUCGGCUGUGAAAACCCGCAGCUCAACUGUGGGCUUGCAGCCGAUACGGGCGGGCUGGAGUUCGGUAGGGGAGACUGGAAUUCCUGGUGUAGCGGUGAAAUGCGCAGAUAUCAGGAGGAACACCGGUGGCGAAGGCGGGUCUCUGGGCCGAUACUGACGCUGAGGAGCGAAAGCGUGGGGAGCGAACAGG
rnacentral:rRNA from 1 species